UCCAUUGUCGUCCAGCGGUAAGGAUAUUUGGCUUUCACCCAAGAGACCCGGGUUCGAUUCUUGGCAAUGGAA